AUACUCACCUGGCAGGGGAGAAAGCAGGACCACAAAGGUAUUACAGUUUUCCCAGGGCCAGCUCACCCACUGCCCUCCAGACGUGCUCACCCUUGUAAUUUCCCCAAAUGUGGGAAACUCCGCUCUAUAAUUGGUGGUAGUGGGGUGUGUUGGUGCUUUCCCCUG
rnacentral:snRNA from 1 species